rnacentral:lncRNA from 1 species
CUUCCUUUUCAUGCUCCCCUUUUUUUAAACCCCCCCCCCCGGUCUAAACCUGGUGAGAGGAAGUAAGGGGGAAGCGUGUUUUUAAAGCACUACCGGGAGUACUUAAUCUAACCGAACGGUGUUUGUGGCACUUUAGUUCCCGCCCGGCGCGCCUUUGGUAAACCUUAGUGACCAGCUGGCUCAUCCACUAGACCUUUUGAAAAUACGGUGGCUGUGGUUGGGAACUAAAGUGUUUUGCUCUCCAAAGCCGGACUGUCCCUGAAAGUGAAAUUACUUUUCAUUGCUGUAAUACUCUUAGUUUACACCUUUGAACAUCCACAAACUUCGUGUUUUACGGUUACUUAACUUGCUAAAAAGCCUCUGUGUGCUUUGAAGUUGCGAGUUUCAUAACGUAUCGCUGUUCAUGUUUGAGUGGUAGAGCUUACUAAUGCGGAUUACUACUCAUUUGAAGUAAAUAAAGUUUCUGCUGUAGUUUAAUAAAUUACCUCCUUCCAGCCCUCCAAUGUAUAUAGUUAGAUAUAGAUUCUGUGAUAAACGGAAGCGAUAUAUAUUUUUAUCAUAGAAAGCUAAAGGCAAGAAAUAGGAUACAAUAGCCUACGGUGAAAUUAAAAGUACCUUUGUCAUGGUUUUGAAAGUAAUUUGACAUAGCAGAUAUGCAUUAUCAGCAGAUAUGCAAAUUUGUUUAGAUGCCAACAGGAACUGGUGUAGCCAGUAGAAAAAAAAAGGUUUAUUUUGCUAGGUUGUUCAUUUCAUUAAAUACUCCUUUUCACCGUUUUGUGUUUUAUUGGUUUUUCACUUUAGGGAAAUUCGAGAAGGAACAACACAGUCCUACAUGGCCCCUCCCCCAACCAUGCCUUCCUGUCUCUUCUGCUUUCUCUUCCUCUCAAGUUAGCAUCUACUGCCAUAAGUAAUACACUGUGAAACCUGAGGAGCUAUCUCAGCAGAAAAGACCUUGCCUUGUGGACUUCAACUCUGGAGACACUAAGCCCGGCAAGAGAAAAAAGAAAUUGUAAGUAGAGUUCUCAUACAUUAGAUGUGCCUAGUCCCCGGCCAAAUGAUACGGCAGAGAAGGGUACUGGGCCUAGGUGGAAAUGAGUGUGGCGGGUUUA